rnacentral:misc_RNA from 1 species
AUUCGGCUGCUCCGUGUUGCUGCUGAGACAGUGCGCAAGUAGCCCUCCCCCUCUUCUGCUCUUUCAGAGAAGACAAGGGUCAGCAAUGGGCCUACAAAUCAUUGAGGGACUGGGAGGCUCCUCCCGCUGCGUGACGCUUCUCACCUUCACGAUCCAUUUCUUGCAUUCGCUUUUCAGCGUUGUGAACUUCUUGUCGUGGGUGCAGACACCGGGGUCACGACUCACGCACAGCACACAGAUGGCGUACCUCUCAUUGACGGUUGUAUGCUGUCUCUUCUACUUCUUUGGCGCCUCGGUUUUCUACAUGUGGGCCUGGCGCUUCCCAGAGCCAGAGGAGGUGGCGAAGCGGCGCCGCGUCUACGGUGUCGGCAUCCAUCUCUUCUUUUGCGAUUUACCCAUCUUCAUAAUAGAAACGCGCAUUGUGUGGCGGGUGCAGUUCCCUGCCGCCAUAAUGGGCUUCAAUUACGUCCUCACAUGCGUCUCCUUGAGCUACUCGACGCUGCGUGUGUGGUUCUUCCUCAUGGUGCGACUCAUCAAGUUCCACUUGCCGACCGCGAGGUCGAUCGGCGCCAACUACACCACUCGAACUUCCUUGGCGGCGCGCCGCGCGAUGGACGAGUCCGACUACACGGGCCAUGGCGGCGCAACGCCGCCAUCCACCGCAGCAGGCCACACGAUUUUUCUGAACCGCAACGCCGGCCUCCAUAGUGAUGACAGGGUAAGUGCGACAAGGCUUUACUACACACCCGACACCGAUCGCGAUCGCAGAGACGUGUACUAUGGCCCCUCACCGAGUCGCUACUACUCGUCUUCCUCGGACGACUUAAGUAUCUCACAGAGGCCGAGCCAGCACGGAUGUCGCCGCAGUCCCGGGGCCAACGUCUACAGUCCCCAAUCAGCUGCCCCACCGUUUCGCAUCUGAAAGCAAUGCGGCACAGCCCACAUGUGAGGCAGAGGUGAAGGGAAUGAAAGUGAGCAGCGAUAUAUCGUUGCUUCGAGAAAGGAAAGGGGCGCCGCCGUUGAAGAAGCGCACUACUCCUCACGCCGUCGCGAGAGCGCAUCUUGGUGCGAUCAUAACCAAAUUCCCCUCUGUUCCGUUGCCCUCAGCGUUUCGCAGAGGCACGUUUCUUCGUCGCUGUCUCUCUCUCUGUCGGUGUGUGGUGAGUUGCUGCUGUGCUGCUUUGACCCGGUUGCUCGUGAUCCCGUCUUUGGGGGCUUUUGCUGCUGUUCUUCCCAUCCCUCUCUCCCUCCUAGAGUAGAUGUGUUCAUCAGCGUCGCAAGAAUUAGUGACGCAAGUGAAUAAUAUAUAGAGAGAGCUAUGUAUGAGGCCACUUCUCACCCUCUCUCGUCCCGGAGGUGCAUGCUUGUAUGCAUGCAUGUGUGUGUGAUGUGUCCUCAUCGCUGAAUCACAACCAGGCGUGAGAUUUUGCUGGGCCUUUCCGAGUUAGUUUCUAUGGCCUCCUCCUGCAUCACGUGCUUCUCUCUGUCCUUUUUGUGAAAGACGGCGUGAUGGCGAGGUGGUGGGAAGGCACAGCCACUCUAUUACUUGCUCGGGCGCACUCCCCUGUCUCCCUUCCCUCUACGCGUCUCCCCGUCCAUCGGCAUCGCUGUGCCACACCCCCUUCAUGCCCUCUGUCGUUUCUCCCCUGCGUCCGAUGAAACGACCACCAAACUCAUCUCCCCCACACCCAACUCCCCUCUCGCAUCCCUCCCCCCGUACACACAUGUGUAUAUGCACGCGCACAAACACGCGUGUUCGCAUGUUGCUGCGACUCCUCCUCUCUCGCUCUCUGCUGUGGCUUGCCAUACCUCUUCUUUGCAUCACUGUAG